GAAGAACGCUGGCGGCGUGCUUAACACAUGCAAGUCGAACGGUAAGGCCCUUCGGGGUACACGAGUGGCGAACGGGUGAGUAACACGUGGGUGAUCUGCCCUGCACUUCGGGAUAAGCCUGGGAAACUGGGUCUAAUACCGGAUAGGACCACUGCCUGCAUGGGUGGUGGUGGAAAGCUUUUGCGGUGUGGGAUGGGCCCGCGGCCUAUCAGCUUGUUGGUGGGGUGAUGGCCUACCAAGGCGACGACGGGUAGCCGGCCUGAGAGGGUGACCGGCCACACUGGGACUGAGAUACGGCCCAGACUCCUACGGGAGGCAGCAGUGGGGAAUAUUGCACAAUGGGCGCAAGCCUGAUGCAGCGACGCCGCGUGAGGGAUGACGGCCUUCGGGUUGUAAACCUCUUUCAGCACCGACGAAGCGCAAGUGACGGUAGGUGCAGAAGAAGGACCGGCCAACUACGUCCCAGCAGCCGCCGUAA
rnacentral:rRNA from 1 species